rnacentral:lncRNA from 1 species
CAUGGUCAAAGGCCUUCCUCACUGUAUCUAACUUCCAGGGCAGAACUUGACAAGAAAUUCCACAAAGCCAAGGCCACCAGAAAGACAGGCCUGGGGCUCCGCUUCCCAGAGACACCGGGUCAGGAGGGUGACGUGCUGCUGACGUGGCUCCUGGGGCCGCAGCCCACACAGCCUUCUGCCGAAACGUCACCAGCGCUGAGCCCAGACUUGCCCUGAACCCUCCGAAGCCCAUGUCCCCCGUCCUGCUGCUGAAACAGAACCCGGGCUGUCAGCUCACGCCCAGCGGCACAUUGGAGGCUGGGAGUCUACCACCGAGGCACCGGCGGGGUUGGGGUCUGGCGAGGGCUUUUCUGGACCACAGAUGCCAAGCUCUUGCUCUGUCCUUACAUGGUAGAGGGGACAGACACCUUUCUGGGCCGCUUGUAUGAAGGCUCUAAUCCCAUUCACGGAGCUGUCCCCGUUCACAACCGCGUCACCUCUCAAUGGCCUCCCCACUGACACCACCAUCUUGGGGGUUAGGAUCUCAAUACGGGGAACCUGGUAGCGGCCCCCAAUCCUCCAGGCCUGCAGCUCUGAGGGCGGGAGUGGGGCAGCCGUCCACGGCGAGGGUUCCCCCUGUGGAAAUCUGGGGCUGGCUCUCAGGUCUCUCAAAUGAUGGGCUCCAGCCCCCCACGCCACCAGGAGAAUCUGCUGUGGGUAAGUCACCGGGUCCUUGACCUGAACCACCUCUACACAAUCCCGGCACAGCGGCACCUGGCUCAGUGGGUGAGGAAAUCCCUGGGGACACUGGCCCAGCCUGGGGGACAUAUCAGACUGACCAUCGCAGACCCAGGCCAGCCCAAUGGCCUAGGAGUGGCGUUGGGGUUCACUGCCCCAACAGGGGCGAAGACGGGCAGCAAGGGCUCUGGCUGCACGGGCCUGGUGGAGCCGGGCAGGUGCCUCGGGGAGCCUGACCACACGAGCUUGCUUCCAGGGGCAGAUUUUGGUGUGGGCUUGUAAGUAAUCACUGUCACCUUCUCUGUAGUCAUUCAGAUGCUCCUGUGGGCUGGGGCUGGGCUCAGGGGCAUGUGAGA